UCGUCCACCAGGUUUUACGCUGGUCUCUCCUCGCAGCCCGCGCUCCCCCAAAUUCCCCAUUCUACUUGCGUCGGGAGAGAACGACGAGCAGGGGCGGCGCGAUUUCGCCGCGAUUUCGCACCGGAUUCAUGGGGGGUAGCCAUCGUGUGAGGCCGGCCACACGCGGGCACUGCCGGUGAGCCCCCAGCCCGCCCGUCCUCGCCGGUCCUCCCCAUCUGCCCCCAAAAGUUUUCCAUGACAUUCCUAAUCGGUCGUCGUCGAGGCAUUUGCUGCUGCCAUGCGUGCAGGUGCAGACCUGGGUGGUGCCGCUGGCGCUUACGAUCCGACCGUGAGCCGGCUUAUGGGGCAGGUUCCCGGCGGAGUCAACGGGAGCAGCGCCGGCGGCCCCGGCCCGCCUAGGCCAGCAGGGGUUGCAUCUGACGCCUAGACGCCUGUACGCACGCACGGAUGCAAGCAGAGGGUCACAAGGUGUGCGUUUUGACACGCUCCACCUUCAGGGUCGUCUCUGUUUUCUUUGAGUUAGCUAGGUGUAUUCCACUUCUUCAGUUAAGUUCAGUUGAAAUGAGGAUACUUGAUUUUGACAUCGCCGAAAACGGCUCCGCUUCUUGUACACCAACGGACCGGGACCCACGAAAAAACCCUUUUCAAACCAUCAAAGUAAUGCCCAAGUAAGGAAACCUCUACCAGGUGCAGUAUAAGUCAACACUAGCUGCUCAUGCUGGAAGAAAAGAUAGGAAAACACUGAAAAAACAGUUGCAAUCAGGAUGAACAAGUAGCGUGCAUCGUCUCAGAUCUACCUCGGUCGAAGGAAGGCCGAAGCUGCCCGGUCCACCUCGAUGGAGGGAAUUCAUGAGAUAGAACGAGGCAUCCUAUCAAACCAUGUGUCCAAAACGUCACUCUGGGUAUUUUUGGGCUUUUCAGCCCAACAGGGAAAAUCCCAUGAAAGCCCUCGCAAGCAGUGGUGGAGGUACCAAAAUAUUAUUGGGCGGGCCAGAUUGAAGAAAAACACACGAGUUUAGCUUCCCGAACCCAGUUUCACCUUAUUCAAUGAUUUGGCCCAAGGCUAGGCAGACCACCGCCCACUUUUGUUUCAACUAAGCUCCAUCCCUGGUCCCAAUCCCAUGUGUACCAAACAACACGAUAGCUAUAUCUCACUCUUUACGAGGCGGUAGCUCAUCUUGUCUCGCCCCUAGCGCCGCUAGCAUGACGACCCAGGUGUGUUCUGUGGUUUUUGUGGGAGCGGUUUUAGAAAGCUAUGGGCCGGUUUGGACUAUCUAAAAUUUCGCGUGUUCUUUUCUACGUGUUUUCUAUAUCGAUUUUUUUCCUUUCAAUUUUCUCCUUUUUUUUGUGCUCAUUUAUUUAUUAUUGUCUUCCUUUCCUUUCAUUUUUUCCUUCAUUUCUGAAAUACACGCAAACAUUUUUCAAAUGCACGUAGAACAUUUUUCAUAUACAUGAUGAUCAGUUUUCACAUACACAUUGAGUAUUUCCAUUUAUGGGUUGAACAUUUUUCUCAAAUACAUGUUGAACAUUUUUUGAUACACGAUGAAUAUUUUUAACACACAUUGAACAUUAUGCGUAAAUGCCAUGAACAUGUUUUUUAAACAUGCAAACCAUUUGUUAACUGUUAGAUUCUCACUAACCACAUUGUCAUCACAUUAAAAUACCACCAGGGACUAAAUGCAC